CUUUGAUGAUAAUUAAAUUAUUCUUCAAUUCACUGAAGAACUGCAUUCAGCUGCCCUAUACAAAGAAGACUGUAAGGAACAUUCUUUCAUUCAUCUUCUAUUAUCCAUGUGUGAGUCUUUCUCUGGUUUAUACACAUAGAAGUAGAUUUUCUGGGUUUGGGGAUAUGAAUAUUUUUUUACCUCUAUUGCUAAACUCUUCUUUUUUCUCUGUCAGGGUACUUUCAGCUGCAAGUAAUGGACAGUAGAAUUCAUAGUAUCUUAAAUAAAGAAUUUAUUAGCACAUAUAAGAAGUCCAGGGGUUUGGCUGCCUUAUACUUGUAUAAUUUAUUGACUCAAUGGCAUGCUUUCUUCAUGGAAAAGCAGUUCCUCUCCAUGAAUCACACAGAGACUGAAGAACAGUAGCCUGGGGCAUGGUGUCUGUCUUUUUUGAAGAGCAGGAAAACUUUUCCUAGAUAUUUCUCCCAUUUGAUUUUCCUACAUAUUUUAUUGGCUAAAAUUAAAGCAUACGUUCAUGCCUAAACUGUUUGCUUACAAAGUUUGACAAAACCAUGAUGACUGGGGAAUACAGCUAGUUUUCCUUGAAGAAUGUGAUCACCAGGAGGAAGGAGAUAGCUGAACCACAUAAGCCUUUAGAAAGGAAGAAAGGGAAGGUGGAUGGCAAUAGGCAAUCAGCAGUGUCUGCCACAUCUCCAAAGUGCUUGCCACAUUCCCAUCAGUAGUGUUUGAGUCCUUAAUUGUCAGAAUUUUUGUUUGUUUUUGCUACACUAAUGAGAUUGUAAUGAUAUGCUUUUGUUUUCUUUACUAUUUUUCUGCUCCUAUUGGGUUGCACACCUUUUCAGAUGUUUAUAGGUUCUUUGCAUUUUCUUGUCUUUGAAAUGCCUUAUUUAUGUUCUUUGCCUUGUAUUCUGCUG
rnacentral:lncRNA from 1 species